GGCCCGUGCUGAGCCGUGCUCUGGCAGGGCCCAGGGACAGCAGUAACUCAGAGGGACAGAUGCAUCCACGUGGGAGGGGUAAAUGGGCUUCAGGUGCUGUCUGGCCUGGGUCCUGCUCCCAUCCCGCUUGUUAACCUGUGUCUGUGCAAGUUGCUUUAACUUUUCCAAAUCUCACUUCUCCGGUUUACAAAAGACCCCUCUCUCGGAGGGCAGGUGGAAACAUUAAACGGCAUCAUUAUGCCAAAAGUGAUGUCUUUGUCCAUCGGAAAGCCCUACAUGAAUGUUAUUUCACGCAGAGACAAUGACAGCAGAACGACUUGAUCUUCUAGGCAUGUUUUUCUGCAUUUUAGAAUGUUUGAUUUGAGACAUACAGGAAGGAGCAGGUUGUUACAUAAAUGCCCCCUAUCAACCCCACUUCCUGGUAUAUGUGCCCUGUGACCCUCCCACGCUGACCCUGGACUUGGCCAUGUGACUCGCUUGGCAUUAGCUGAGGUGAGGCCAGUAGAGGGCCAAUGAGCUGGGGCUUGCCCUCUGGCAACCUUGGCUGGAGGCCAGCGAGAGGCCAUCGCGGACCUCUAGAAGACCUCCAGACGACUGAAUAAACGGGGCUGACAAGACGUACCUGCCACAGCGACAGAGUCCUGAGCAAAUCUCUGCUUUCCAGUCACCAAGUUUGGGGCAGUUUGCCACUUGGCAACAGAAUGCCUGGUUCAAAGGCAGCUACAUCCCCUUGGAGACAUUGCUGAUCUGGAGACCCUUGACUCUGCUAGCAAGACUCCGUGGCCACACCCUCUUCGCCUUUGAUGGCUGACCCAUGGCCACAAGGUCAGACGUGCACACCAGAAAGCAGAAACAGUGCUUCCCACAGGCUGGCCAGCCCCGCGGGUCCCUGUGAGCCACACUGGAGCCCACAGCCAGGCCCGGGAGCAAGGAGCAGAUGCUCGGCCCUCUUCGAUCUGGCUCCUCCACAUCCUCCACCUCCCACAGCAUGGAUCCGCCAGCCCUAAAUGAGCAGCUACCAUUUGCUGGGGACUUUCUUCCCAGUCUGCAGUCAUU
rnacentral:lncRNA from 1 species